rnacentral:rRNA from 1 species
AGUGAACGCUGGCGGUAGGCCUAACACAUGCCAGUCGAACGGCAGCACAGUAAGAGCUUGCUCUUACGGGUGGCGAGUGGCGGACGGGUGAGGAAUACAUCGGAAUCUACUUUUUCGUGGGGGAUAACGUAGGGAAACUUACGCUAAUACCGCAUACGACCUACGGGUGAAAGCAGGGGAUCUUCGGACCUUGCGCGAUUGAAUAAGCCGAUGUCGGAUUAGCUAGUUGGCGGGGUAAAGGCCCACCAAGGCGACGAUCCGUGGCUGGUCUGAGAGGAUGAUCAGCCACACUGGAACUGAGACACGGUCCAGACUCCUACGGGAGGCAGCAGUGGGGAAUAUUGGACAAUGGGCGCAAGCCUGAUCCAGCCAUACCGCGUGGGUGAAGAAGGCCUUCGGGUUGUAAAGCCCUUUUGUUGGGAAAGAAAAGCAGCAGGUUAAUACCCCGCUGUUCUGACGGUACCCAAAGAAUAAGCACCGGCUAACUUCGUG